rnacentral:lncRNA from 1 species
GGUGACCAUGUUUGUUGAUAGAUCACAACUUCGGAUACAAUUUCCAAACUAGAUACCCUAAGGAACAUUCAGUUAAAGUUUGGAAGUAUUUGGCCCAGUAGUUUCAGAGGAGAAGAUUUUUGUAAAAGAUUACUAAGAUUUACGAAAAAUGGUUAAAAAUUGACUAUAAAGGGCAAUAACUCCUAAAGGAGUCAACUGACC